GUUUUGCGUUAGGGAUUGCAAUGAAAAUCCUUUUGUGAGGCACGAAACAAAAGAUUGUAAUGGAAAGCCCGCUCGAAC
rnacentral:sRNA from 1 species